UUGGUGGCGGCAUUCGCUGUAGUCGCGAGCGGAAUGAAAGACGGCCAUCCCAAUGACCAGGAGUUCCACCACACUCUUCAUGAAGCUAAAACGAUGUGCAUGGAUAUUAUGAUGCCAUCCGAAGACGAAAUGAGUAACAUGAAAGAAAAAAUGAAAGAGUGCCUCGAAAAAGAAGGUCACACCCAUUUGACUUCACACCCUGCCUUGGCUUCCGACAAGAAGCCCC